rnacentral:rRNA from 1 species
UACGUAGGGUGCAAGCGUUGUCCGGAAUUAUUGGGCGUAAAGAGCUUGUAGGCGGUUUGUCGCGUCUGCUGUGAAAUUUCGGGGCUCAACCCCGAGCUUGCAGUGGGUACGGGCAGACUAGAGUGUGGUAGGGGAGACUGGAAUUCCUGGUGUAGCGGUGAAAUGCGCAGAUAUCAGGAGGAACACCGAUGGCGAAGGCAGGUCUCUGGGCCAUAACUGACGCUGAGAAGCGAAAGCAUGGGGAGCGAACAGA